GGCGGCGUGCUUAACACAUGCAAGUCGAAGAUGAUGGCCCAGCUYUGCUGGGCGGAUUAGUGGCGAACGGGUGAGUAAUACGUGAGUAACCUGCCCUUGACUCUGGGAUAAGCCUGGGAAACUGGGUCUAAUACUGGAUACUACCUCUUACCGCAUGGCUGGUGGUGGAAAGGGUUUUACUGGUUUUGGAUGGGCCCACGGCCUAUCAGCUUGUUGGUGGGGUAAUGGCUCACCAAGGCGACGACGGGUAGCCGGCCUGAGAGGGUGACCGGCCACACUGGGACUGAGACACGGCCCAGA
rnacentral:rRNA from 1 species